rnacentral:rRNA from 1 species
GGAUUGCCCUAGUAACGGCGAGUGAAGCGGCAACAGCUCAAAUUUGAAAUCUGGCCCUCUCGGGGUUCGAGUUGUAAUUUGUAGAGGAUGCUUCGGCGUCGGCCCCGGGCUAAGUCCCCUGGAACGAGGCGCCCUAGAGGGUGAGAGCCCCGUACUCACUCGGGUGCCCUUCGCCAUGUGAAGCUCCUUCGACGAGUCGAGUUGUUUGGGAAUGCAGCUCUAAGCGGGAGGUAUAUUUCUUCUAAAGCUAAAUACCGGCCAGAGACCGAUAGCGCACAAGUAGAGUGAUCGAAAGAUGAAAAGCACUUUGGAAAGAGAGUUAAAAAGCACGUGAAAUUGUUGAAAGGGAAGCUCUUGCCGCCAGACUUGCCGCGGUUGCUCAGCCGCCCCCCGGGGCGGUGUACUCUUCCGUCGGCAGGCCAGCGUCGGUUCGGGCGACCGGAUAAAGGCCCUGGGAAUGUAGCACCCUCCGGGGUGUGUUAUAGCCCGGGGUGCAAUGCGGUCAGCCCGGUCCGAGGCACGCGUUCGCGAGGACGCUGGCGUAAUGGCUGCAAGCGACCCGUCUUGAAACACGGACCAAGGAGUCUAACAUCUGUGCGAGUGUUUGGGUCUCAAACUCAUGCGCGUAAUGAAAGUGAACGGAGGUGGGAACCCCCUCGAGGGGCGCACCAUCGACCGAUCCUGAUGUCUUCGGAUGGAUUUGAGUAAGAGCAUAGCUGUUGGGACCCGAAAGAUGGUGAACUAUUCCCGGAUAGGGUGAAGCCAGAGGAAACUCUGGUGGAGGCUCGCAGCGGUUCUGACGUGCAAAUCGAUCGUCAAAUCUAGGAAUAGGGGCGAAAGACUAAUCGAACCAU